rnacentral:rRNA from 1 species
AGAGUUUGAUCCUGGCUCAGAUUGAACGCUGGCGGCGUGCUUAACACAUGCAAGUCGAGCGGCAGCGCGGGAGCAAUCCUGGCGGCGAGCGGCGAACGGGUGAGUAAUGCUUCGGAAUCUGCCCUUCAGUGGGGAAUAACCAGCCGAAAGGUUGGCUAAUACCGCAUACGAACUGAGGUUGAAAGCAGGGGAUCGCAAGACCUUGCGCUGAUGGAUGAGCCGAAGUCGGAUUAGCUAGUUGGUGGGGUAACGGCCCACCAAGGCGACGAUCCGUAGCUGGUCUGAGAGGACGACCAGCCACACUGGGACUGAGACACGGCCCAGACUCCUACGGGAGGCAGCAGUGGGGAAUAUUGGACAAUGGGGGCAACCCUGAUCCAGCGACGCCGCGUGUGUGAAGAAGGCCUGCGGGUUGUAAAGCACUUUUAGUGGGGAGGAAGGUCUGCGACCUAACACGUCGUGGAAUUGACUUAACCCACAGAAAAAGCACCGGCUAACUCUGUGCCAGCAGCCGCGGUAAUACAGAGGGUGCAAGCGUUAAUCGGAAUUACUGGGCGUAAAGCGUGCGUAGGCGGUUUCGUAAGUCGGGUGUGAAAGCCCCGGGC